rnacentral:rRNA from 1 species
CCUACGGGAGGCUGCAGUGGGGAAUAUUGGACAAUGGGGGCAACCCUGAUCCAGCCAUGCCGCGUGUGUGAAGAAGGCCCUCGGGUUGUAAAGCACUUUCAGUGAGGAAGAACGCCUGGUGGUUAAUACCCAUCAGGAAAGACAUCUCUCACAGAAGAAGCACCGGCUAACUCCGUGCCAGCAGCCGCGGUAAUACGGAGGGUGCGAGCGUUAAUCGGAAUUACUGGGCGUAAAGCGCGCGUAGGUGGCUUGAUAAGCCGGUUGUGAAAGCCCCGGGCUCAACCUGGGAACGGCAUCCGGAACUGUCAAGCUAGAGUGCAGGAGAGGAAGGUAGAAUUCCCGGUGUAGCGGUGAAAUGCGUAGAGAUCGGGAGGAAUACCAGUGGCGAAGGCGGCCUUCUGGACUGACACUGACACUGAGGUGCGAAAGCGUGGGUAGCAAACAGGAUUAGAUACCCGGGUAGUC